rnacentral:lncRNA from 1 species
UGGCUUCCUGAUAAGUGUCUAUCCUGUUCCUGCCACUAAGGAGUUCCUUUGAUGACAUUAGAAUCAUCGUCUUCCGCUGCCAACUCAGACUGAAGACCAACAGCUCUCUAGGAACCCUCCAGGCCUUCAGCACCGGAUUGGGACUGCUGAGACACUCUUGUGAGCAGCUGCCGCUGUUGGUCAGCCCAGACCAUAUUGAGUAAACCCCUAACAAAUCCCCUCUUAAUACAUAUUCAUCAAUUCUGUUCCUCUAACAACAGCGGUUUGCAACCCAUCUACUGCUGUGACCCUUUAAUGCAGUUCUUCAUGUUGUGGUGACCCCCAACCAUAAAAUUAUUUUGUUGGUACUUCAUAACUGUAAUUUUGCAACUGUUAUGAAUCAUCAUGUUUUCCAAUGGUCUUAGGUGACCCUGUGAAAGGGUCAUGACUCAAAGGUUGAGAAACGCUGUAGAAGCUAAUACAAAUUCAUUCUCCUUGACCCCCAACCCGUGAUAUAUCAGUAAAAGGCAAGAUUAUAAAUGAAUAAUCCCAAAAUACCACUGAGUUCAUUUUGAGUUGGCCAUCUACUGCCUGCAUGCAGUGUGCUUGGUAUACCCAGUGAGACUCCCAGUGCACAGAUUUAUUCUUGAUCCUUCUAACUCAUUCUAAUUCUGAGCUUUAUUAAUCCUGAGCAUGUAUAGCUUAAAGUUAUUAAAUAAAUAAGUUGGACCUGGUGGCACAG